rnacentral:rRNA from 1 species
AUUGAACGCUGGCGGCAUGCCUUACACAUGCAAGUCGAACGGCAGCGGACCUUCGGGUGCCGGCGAGUGGCGAGCGGGUGAGUAAUAUAUCGGAACGUACCUUUCAGUGGGGGAUAACGUAGCGAAAGUUACGCUGAUACCGCAUAUUCUGUGAGCAGGAAAGCAGGGGAUCGCAAGACCUUGCGCUGAUUGAGCGGCCGAUAUCAGAUUAGCUAGUUGGUGAGGUAAAGGCUCACCAAGGCGACGAUCUGUAGCGGGUCUGAGAGGAUGAUCCGCCACACUGGAACUGAGACACGGUCCAGACUCCUACGGGAGGCAGCAGUGGGGAAUUUUGGACAAUGGGCGCAAGCCUGAUCCAGCCAUGCCGCGUGAGUGAAGAAGGCCU